UUGACCUCAAAUCAGGUAGGACUACCCGCUGAACUUAAGCAUAUCAAUAAGCGGAGGAAAAGAAACUAACAAGGAUUCCCCUAGUAACUGCGAGUGAAGCGGGAAGAGCUCAAUUUUGAAUCUGGCGGUCUUUGGCCGUCCGAGUUGUAAUCUAGAGAAGUGUCUUCCGCGCUGACG
rnacentral:rRNA from 1 species